rnacentral:rRNA from 1 species
GACGAACGCUGGCGGCGUGCUUAACACAUGCAAGUCGAACGAAGCCCCUCCUUUGGUGUGGUGUGCUAGCGGCGAACGGGUGAGUGACACGCGGGCGGACUACUCUCAGGUCUGUGAUAUGUCUUGUAGACCGGGGCUACAACAGGAUACGGCUGCUACUGCCGCAUGGGGGGGUGGGAAGGUUUUCGGCUGUGGGUGAGCCAGCGGCGUAUCAGCAUGUUGGUGGGGUGGUGGCUCACCAAGGCGACGUCGGGGAGCAGGCCGGCGAGGGUGGCCGGCCACACUGGGACUGAGAUACGGCCCAGACUCCUACGGGAGGCAGCAGUGGGGAAUAGUGCACAAUGGGCGGAAGCCUGACGCAGCGACGCCGCGUGGGGGAUGAAGGCCUUCGGGUUGUAAACCGCUUUCGGCUGAGACGAAGAGAAAGUGACGGUACCUGCAGAAGAAGCACCGGCUAACUACGUG